rnacentral:rRNA from 1 species
UACGUAGGGGGCUAGCGUUGUCCGGAAUCAUUGGGCGUAAAGAGCGCGUAGGCGGUCCGGUAAGUCCGCUGUGAAAGUCGGGGGCUCAACCCUCGAAUGCCGGUGGAUACUGUCGGGCUAGAGUGCGGAAGAGGCGAGUGGAAUUCCUGGUGUAGCGGUGAAAUGCGCAGAUAUCAGGAGGAACACCGAUGGCGAAGGCAGGUCUCUGGGCCGAUACUGACGCUGAGGAGCGAAAGCGUGGGGAGCGAACAGG